rnacentral:rRNA from 1 species
UACGUGGGGGCCGAGCGUUGUCCGGAGUUACUGGGCGUAAAGGGCGCGCAGGCGGCGGCGUGGGUCCGGCGUGAAAGCCCCCGGCUCAACCGGGGAACGUCGUCGGGGACCGCGCCGCUUGAGGGCGGCAGGGGCCGGUGGAAUGCCUGGUGUAGUGGUGAAAUGCGUAGAGAUCAGGCGGAACACCCGUGGCGAAGGCGGCCGGCUGGGCCGUUCCUGACGCUGAGGCGCGAAGGCGUGGGGAGCGAACGGG